GACGAACGCUGGCGGCGUGCUUAACACAUGCAAGUCGAACGGAAAGGCCCUGCUUUUGUGGGGUGCUCGAGUGGCGAACGGGUGAGUAACACGUGAGUAACCUGCCCUUGACUUUGGGAUAACUUCAGGAAACUGGGGCUAAUACCGGAUAGGAGCUCCUGCUGCAUGGUGGGGGUUGGAAAGUUUCGGCGGUUGGGGAUGGACUCGCGGCUUAUCAGCUUGUUGGUGGGGUAGUGGCUUACCAAGGCUUUGACGGGUAGCCGGCCUGAGAGGGUGACCGGCCACAUUGGGAAUGAGAUACGGCCCCGACUCCUACGGGAGGGAGCAGUGGGGAAUAUUGCACAAUGGGCGGAAGCCUGAUGCAGCAACGCCGCGUGCGGGAUGACGGCCUUCGGGUUGUAAACCGCUUUCGCCUGUGACGAAGCGUGAGUGACGGUAAUGGGUAAAGAAGCACCGGCUAACUACGUG
rnacentral:rRNA from 1 species